rfam:Woeseia oceani strain XK5, complete genome.
GGGGGCGACAUGGCUUCGACGUGGGUCGCGAAACUCUGGGUGCAUGCCGAGGAACAGAUAACCUCGUAAAUCCAGCUGUAACACUUAUAGUUGCCAACGACGACAACUACGCAUUAGCUGCUUAAAAACCAGUUGAAUGCCCUCUGACCGGAUGUGCCUGUGCGUUCGGGGUCCAGGGGUCACCCACAUAGGACCGCGGGGAGGGUGUGCUCAGCACGCAAACCGUUAAAUCCAAUCUGAGCAGGCCGUGAGUCUUCCCUGCCCUUCGGGUAGCUCACGGUGAGAUUAAAGAAGGGAUAAGCAUGUAGACCUCAUAGCGGAGGGCUUGCGGACGCGGGUUCGAUUCCCGCCGCCUCCACCA